UACGUAGGGUGCAAGCGUUAAUCGGAAUUACUGGGCGUAAAGCGUGCGCAGGCGGUUUUGUAAGUUUGACGUGAAAUCCCCGGGCUCAACCUGGGAAUUGCGUUGGAGACUGCAAGGCUGGAGUCUGGCAGAGGGGGGUAGAAUUCCACGUGUAGCAGUGAAAUGCGUAGAGAUGUGGAGGAAUACCGAUGGCGAAGGCAGCCUCCUGGGCCAACACUGACGCUCAUGCACGAAAGCGUGGGGAGCAAACAGG
rnacentral:rRNA from 1 species